CCUGCGGAAGGAUCAUUAAUGAAUUCACUAUGGAGUUGUUGCUGGCCUCUAGGGGCAUGUGCACGCUUCACUAGUCUUUCAACCACCUGUGAACUUUUGAUAGAUCUGUGAAGUCGUCUCUCAAGUCGUCAGACUUGGUUGCUGGGAUUUAAACGUCUCGGUGUGACAACGCAGUCUAUUUACUUAACACACCCCAAAUGUAUGUCUACGAAUGUCAUUUAAUGGGCCUUGUGCCUAUAAACCAUAAUACAACUUUCAACAACGGAUCUCUUGGCUCUCGCAUCGAUGAAGAGCGCAGCGAAAUGCGAUAAGUAAUGUGAAUUGCAGAAUUCAGUGAAUCAUCGAAUCUUUGAACGCACCUUGCGCCCCUUGGUAUUCCGAGGGGCAUGCCUGUUUGAGUGUCAUUAAAUUCUCAAACUCACUUUGGUUUCUUUCCAAUUGUGAUGUUUGGAUUGUUGGGGGCUGCUGGCCUUGACAGGUCGGCUCCUCUUAAAUGCAUUAGCAGGACUUCUCAUUGCCUCUGCGCAUGAUGUGAUAAUUAUCACUCAUCAAUAGCACGCAUGAAUAGAGUCCAGCUCUCUAAUCGUCCGCAAGGACAAUUUGACAAUUUGACCUC
rnacentral:rRNA from 1 species